CAGCAGCCCGAGUGGUGGUCGUUUUUAUUGGGCCUAAAGCGUCCGUAGCCGGUCUAGUAAAUCCUUGGAUAAAUCGUACAGCUUAACUGUACGGCUCCCGGGGAGACUGCUAGACUUGGGACUGGGAGAGGUCGGAGGUACUCCAGGGGUAGGGGUGAAAUCUUGUAAUCCUUGGGGGACCACCAGUGGCGAAGGCGUCCGACUAGAACGGGUCCGACGGUAAGGGACGAAGCCCUGGGGCACGAACCGGAUUAGAUACCCGAGUAGUCC
rnacentral:rRNA from 1 species